AUCGAACGCUGGCGGCAGGCCUAACACAUGCAAGUCGAGCGAGCGGCGGACGGGUGAGUAAUGUAUGGGGACUGCCCGAUAGAGGGGGAUAACCACUGGAAACGGUAGCUAAUACCGCAUAUUAUCGGAUAACCCAUAUGGGAUUAGCUAGUUGGUGAGGUAAUGGUUCACCAAGGCGACGAUCCCUAGCUGGUCUGCGAGGAUGAUCAGCCACACGGGGACUGGGACACGGCCCAGACGCCUACGGAGGCAGCAGUGGGGAAUAUUGCACAAUGGGCGAAAGCCUGAUGCAGCCAUGCCGCGGAGAUGAAGAAGGCCCUAGGGUUGUAAAGUACUUUCAUACGGGAGGCGUUACCGAAAGAAGAAGCACCGGCUAACUCCGUGCCAGCAGCCGCGGUAAUUC
rnacentral:rRNA from 1 species